UAAUCUCAUUUCGAUUAAUGUCAUUUUAAUUGGAAAAACUCCUUAUCCCCUCGGAAAAGGGAGGUGUGACAAGGGGUUGUUGUGUAAUAAGCGCAUAAUGUCCACUGGAACGCCCAUGGAUUUUAUCAUCAACUUGAUGAAUUAGUUUCAAGAUAUAAGGUUUUCCUAUUAUAACGGGUUGUUCAAAAGGAUUCCCCGUUUCCAUCAAAUAUUGUGCUUUUUCUUGGAUAUUCGGGCUCCAAUAACACAAUUCCGGGAGAAGUCGGUAGUUGGGCACUGGAUCCUUCGGACCUCGAGAAUGUUGAUCAAUUAUGGACAUGUUUAAUUUUGUAUCACCUAUCUUGGGGAGAUGUCAACAUUUACACCCAUAUAAUAAUACUGGUAUUGCAACUAAGAUUUCCCCCUUAUUAAUGACAAGGAAAAAAUGUAGAAAGAUUAGACAGUACUGUUCCUGUUAUUGCCCCAGAAGUUUCGCAAUCCAGCUAAUUCUGAACACGCUAGCCUUCUGUUUAUAUUACUAAGUCCAUGACCUCUAUAAAUAUAUUGCACCGUCUUUGGCUCCGCUUCAACAUAAAAAGACGUCUUUACUUAGAGCCAUGAGAAGGAGAGUUUCUGAUAUUUUAGUAUCCAAUUGGAACUUUGUGUGGGCAAUAAAUAUCACCAUUUUCAAGUUGUUACAAUUGCUAGGCUACUUCAAUACAAUAUUAAAAGGGAGUUUAUUCCCUUCACUCUUCUUCUCAGCAACUUUUAGUUUGUUGCUGCUGUUUCUUGCACUUGUUUUUGACAUCGUUCGAAGCAGUUCAGAUUCAAAUGUUAUUAUUCACUUGAAGACCUGCAAAGGAAAAUAUAUGGACUUCUAUAAAUUGAGGAUCUUUCUUUCUUACUCAGCAGCAUCCACGAUGUAGCUAUAUAGGGUUUGUUAGUGUAUCACUUGUGUUUGACUAUUCGUGAGGUUGUUCUCUCGAUAUUUUGUACUCUCUUUUAUAUAGUGGAUUGCUUAUCUCCAUCUGUGGACGUAUGUCAAAUUGACGGAACUACAUUAAAUGUUUGUGUUUUUUUUUGGUA